CUACGGAGGGUGCAAGCGUUAUCCGGAUUUAUUGGGUUUAAAGGGUUCGUAGGCGGAUCAAUAAGUCAGUGGUGAAAGCCUGUGGCUCAACCAUAGAACUGCCAUUGAUACUGUUGAUCUUGAGUACACUUGAAGUGGGCGGAAUGCGUCAUGUAGCGGUGAAAUGCAUAGAUAUGACGCAGAACACCGAUUGCGAAGGCAGCUCACUAAAUUGUAACUGACGCUGAGGAACGAAAGCGUGGGGAGCGAACAGGAUUAGAAACCCUAGUAGUCC
rnacentral:rRNA from 1 species